rnacentral:tRNA from 1 species
GCCAAGGUGGCGGAAUUGGUAGACGCGCACGGUUCAGGUCCGUGUGAGCUUAGCUCGUAGGAGUUCGACUCUCCUCCUUGGUACCA